CAGCCGCCGCGGUAAUACGUAGGGUGCGAGCGUUAAUCGGAAUUACUGGGCGUAAAGCGUGCGCAGGCGGUUGUGUAAGACAGGUGUGAAAUCCCCGGGCUUAACCUGGGAACUGCGCUUGUGACUGCACAGCUAGAGUAUGGCAGAGGGGGGUGGAAUUCCACGUGUAGCAGUGAAAUGCGUAGAGAUGUGGAGGAACACCGAUGGCGAAGGCAGCCCCCUGGACCAAUACCGACGCUCAUGCACGAAAGCGUGGGGAGCAAACAGGAUUAGAUACCCCCGUAGUCCCUGUCUCUUAUAC
rnacentral:rRNA from 1 species